rnacentral:rRNA from 1 species
GUGGGGAAUAUUGGACAAUGGGCGAAAGCCUGAUCCAGCCAUGCCGCGUGUGUGAAGAAGGUCUUCGGAUUGUAAAGCACUUUAAGUUGGGAGGAAGGGCAGUAAGUUAAUACCUUGCUGUUUUGACGUUACCGACAGAAUAAGCACCGGCUAACUUCGUGCCAGCAGCCGCGGUAAUACGAAGGGUGCAAGCGUUAAUCGGAAUUACUGGGCGUAAAGCGCGCGUAGGUGGUUUUGUAAGUUGGAGGUGAAAUCCCCGGGCUCAACCUGGGAACUGCCUCCAAAACUGCAUGACUAGAGUACGGUAGAGGGUAGUGGAAUUUCCUGUGUAGCGGUGAAAUGCGUAGAUAUAGGAAGGAACACCAGUGGCGAAGGCGACUACCUGGACUGAUACUGACACUGAGGUGCGAAAGCGUGGGGAGCAAACAGGAUUAGAUACCCAGUAGUCC